rnacentral:lncRNA from 1 species
AAAAAUAUCAGUUUCUUUACUUAAUCAAUUUUAAAAAAAUAGCCUUCAAUCUGUAACGUCUUAUUAAUUUUGACCGAGUAAUAAAUUCAAACAUGUGAGUAUAAAUUAAAUUGCAAUAAUAUAAUGAAAUGAAUCCUUAAAAUUAAAUUGCAAUAAUAUAAAUUCUCAAAAAAAAAGUGUAUAAAUUAAUUCAUUUGUUAUUUAGGUGAG